ensembl:lncRNA
CUGUGCUAAAGUAAUUCAUAGGUCCAGAAAUAAACACUGGAAAGCUGACUCCACACUAGGCCCUUGUUCAGCAAGAUGCUAUUCAUCAUGUUUGCAAAUCGGGUGGUGCAGGUAAAUGUCUCCUAGUGGUAUCCACCAUCAGCCCCCAUGCAGCUGAAAUUUGGGUUUGAAUCAUGCCAACAUUGGCCCUUGCUAUCUCAGAUAUCUGAAGAUAAUUCUUUAUAUCUCCCACACAUUUGGAUACACAGAGUUAUAAACAAAUAGAAGAAUGAUAUAUUAUCAGUGAUAUGAUGACUACCAGGUAUUAUCAAAACAUGCUUUUCAGAUUGGUGCUCAAAUUCUGUGGCAAUAUGUCACCAUUAGCAUUACUUGUGUCCCUGCUCCUUUCUUGUUUUGCUACAAUAGAUGUAUUGUGAAAUCUUUCAGGAACUUUCAAGGCAUUCUAAAUCAAGUGGUCCCAAAAACAAAAUUAAAAAGAGCUCUUAUAGAAGUUACAUCUAACUGUUCACUCUUCCCUUUCCCUGACCAAAAAUACCUAUCUUAAGUAAAAAUAAAUAAAUACCUUGAACUAAAGUCAUGCAUCUAUGCCUGGUUAUUUUAUAUCCACUUUGCCAUACAUGUUACAGACUCGCCAAUCAACUACAGCCUUCAGGAGCUACCACUAAGUACCCCUUGCACCAUUCCUUAAACUUCAAUGGGUACCAGAGAAUAUAUAUUUUUAAAAUUCUAUUUCUGCUAUGGCUUUGUUUAUAUAUAUCUUGUAUCAGUAGACUAGUAUAUACAUAUACAGCAGUGUAUACAUAUAUACAUAUGUGUAUAUCAUAAAUGAACACACUGAGGGUCAUGCACAGAAAGUUUUGGUCAUACGGUGAAUAUCCACAAAGGUUUGUAGACCACUGCCUAAAUAGGAAUGAUUUGGGAUGUCUCCAAACACUUCAAAAAAACUCCUCUAAAAUAGAAUACACAUUACUUGUAUAUUUUUUCUUUGUAAAAUGGAAAAUCAAUGCCACAAACUCUUUUGAGAAACCAGAAGGAAGUUACAAAAUUGAAGAAGUAAACAUAUUGGGGCAAGCACCUCUAAGCUGCUCUCCAAGUUCCUAGCCCUAGCUCCGAUGGGGCGAUCCAGGGCACAAGCACAGAAAUUAAAACAAAGAUAAACACACUGCACUAUUUCCUGCACUGGCCAUGUUUAUAUCCAUAAGCAAUCCUUUCCUAACAUAGAUUGCAUUUGUUUCUGAUUUGGAAACUUCUACUUUGAUAGCUUUGGUAAGAUGCCACCACCUAGAAUAUUUCCCAUAUGCCUGACACAUCUCUAACACAGCCAUACUACAUGGUUGCUUGAAGCCCUGGUUUUCUUCUUUCCUCCAACUCACUUAAAUUCUAACACCCUAAAUGAAUGACUCAGUGUCUCAUUUUUCCAACCAUCAACUCUGGAGAAACUGUCACCCACGUCAAUGUUUGUGUUGCCAGACAUUCAGUGCCAUGUAGAUAAUUGGGGGAAAAUAUGUUUACAGGAAGCAUGAUCUGAUCCCAUGAGUCUUUUUACUGGAGGUAAAAUCAUUUUGAGAGGAGUAAAACAUGUCACCUCUACUGAAGUAGAGAUCUCUUAGAUAUUUGAACACUGUCAUUAGUCUUAUUGGUGUAAAAAAAAAUUAAAUAUAAUUAAAAGUAAAAAUACAAUCAUUGUCCAUGGUUAAUAAGCCAAAUGUGAUCUCUUGGAGGAGUUUUGGGAGGAUGGGGGUAGAAGGAAUUUCAAAAGAACACUCACUUCUAUUCUGAACAACUAUUAAAGGGGAGAGUCCACAGAUUGCUUUUUUAAAAGGAAGAUAAUGGUAAAUAUAUAGAACAUUAAUCUUUUCUAGCCCUCUAAUGAAUAAUUAUAUUAUAUUCUCUCUGUUAACCAUUUAGCCAUCACUAAUUAAUAUAGCAAUUCAAAUCUGCAUGCUAUUUUUUUUUUUUUGGUACCGGGGAUUGAACUCAGUUCCUUAGUUUGUGAGGCAGGUGGUGGAACCACUGAGCUAAAUCCCUGGCCCUGCAUGUUAUUUUUUAAGAAGUCAUGGGGUAAUUUUUGAAGAAAGUACUGAAGAAAAAAAU